UUGAACGCUGGCGGCAUGCCUUACACAUGCAAGUCGAACGGCAGCACGGGUGCUUGCACCUGGUGGCGAGUGGCGAACGGGUGAGUAAUACAUCGGAACAUGUCCUGUAGUGGGGGAUAGCCCGGCGAAAGCCGGAUUAAUACCGCAUACGAUCCACGGAUGAAAGCGGGGGACCUUCGGGCCUCGCGCUAUAGGGUUGGCCGAUGGCUGAUUAGCUAGUUGGUGGGGUAAAGGCCUACCAAGGCGACGAUCAGUAGCUGGUCUGAGAGGACGACCAGCCACACUGGGACUGAGACACGGCCCAGACUCCUACGGGAGGCAGCAGUGGGGAAUUUUGGACAAUGGGCGAAAGCCUGAUCCAGCAAUGCCGCGUGUGUGAAGAAGGCCUUCGGGUUGUAAAGCACUUUUGUCCGGAAAGAAAUCCUUGGCUCUAAUACAGUCGGGGGAUGACGGUACCGGAAGAAUAAGCACCGGCUAACUACGUGCCAGCAGCCGCGGUAAUACGUAGGGUGCAAGCGUUAAUCGGAAUUACUGGGCGUAAAGCGUGCGCAGGCGGUUUGCUAAGACCGAUGUGAAAUCCCCGGGCUCAACCUGGGAACUGCAUUGGUGACUGGCAGGCUAGAGUAUGGCAGAGGGGGGUAGAAUUCCACGUGUAGCAGUGAAAUGCGUAGAGAUGUGGAGGAAUACCGAUGGCGAAGGCAGCCCCCUGGGCCAAUACUGACGCUCAUGCACGAAAGCGUGGGGAGCAAACGGGAUUAGAUACCCUGGUAGUCCACGCCCUAAACGAUGUCAACUAGUUGUUGGGGAUUCAUUUCCUUAGUAACGUAGCUAACGCGUGAAGUUGACCGCCUGGGGAGUACGGUCGCAAGAUUAAAACUCAAAGGAAUUGACGGGGACCCGCACAAGCGGUGGAUGAUGUGGAUUAAUUCGAUGCAACGCGAAAAACCUUACCUACCCUUGACAUGGUCGGAAUCCUGCUGAGAGGCGGGAGUGCUCGAAAGAGAACCGGCGCACAGGUGCUGCAUGGCUGUCGUCAGCUCGUGUCGUGAGAUGUUGGGUUAAGUCCCGCAACGAGCGCAACCCUUGUCCUUAGUUGCUACGCAAGAGCACUCUAAGGAGACUGCCGGUGACAAACCGGAGGAAGGUGGGGAUGACGUCAAGUCCUCAUGGCCCUUAGUGGGUAGGGCUUCACACGUCAUACAAUGGUCGGAACAGAGGGUUGCCAACCCGCGAGGGGGAGCUAAUCCCAGAAAACCGAUCGUAGUCCGGAUUGCACUCUGCAACUCGAGUGCAUGAAGCUGGAAUCGCUAGUAAUCGCGGAUCAGCAUGCCGCGGUGAAUACGUUCCCGGGUCUUGUACACACCGCCCGUCACACCAUGGGAGUGGGUUUUACCAGAAGUGGCUAGUCUAACCGCAAGGAGGACGGUCACCACGGUAGGAUUCAUGACUGGGGUG
rnacentral:rRNA from 1 species